rnacentral:sRNA from 1 species
GAGUGAAAAUGCAGCUGGCUUCUUUCCUGGAAGAUCCUCAGUAUCAAGACCAACAUUCUUUGCAUACAGAGAUCAUAAAAACAUUUGGUAGAGUUGGCCCUAACGCAGAACCCAGGUUCCGAGAUGAGUUUUUAUUGUAGAAUAGAUACCUACCUAUCAAAUUUGUAGGAGUUGUUCAAGAGGAAAAAAUGAAUUUUCUUCUCAUAAUGGCCCCCAAAUAACAAUUAAAGGUUGUUUUGGGAACAGAUUGAGGUCAGUUUUAGAAUUAGCCUGUCUAAGUUAGGCAUGGUGCCACGUGUCUAUAGUCCCAGCUACUCAGAAGCUGAGGUGGGAGGAUCACUUGAAGCCAGGA